rnacentral:rRNA from 1 species
UUAAAUCAGUUAUCGUUUAUUUGAUAGUACCUUACUACUUGGAUACCUGUGGUAAUUCUAGAGCUAAUACAUGCUAAAAAUCCCGACUCACGGAGGGAUGUAUUUAUUAGAUUAAAAACCAAUGCCCUUCGGGGCUUUCUGGUGAUUCAUAAUAACUUCUCGAAUCGCAUGGCCUUGCGCCGGCGAUGGUUCAUUCAAAUUUCUGCCCUAUCAACUUUCGAUGGCAGGGUCUUGGCCUGCCAUGGUUACAACGGGUAACGGAGGGUUAGGGCUCGACCCCGGAGAAGGAGCCUGAGAAACGGCUACUACAUCCAAGGAAGGCAGCAGGCGCGCAAAUUACCCAAUCCCGAUACGGGGAGGUAGUGACAAUAAAUACUGAUACAGGGCUCUUUUGGGUCUUGUAAUUGGAAUGAGUACAAUUUAAAUCCCUUAACGAGGAACAAUUGGAGGGCAAGUCUGGUGCCAGCAGCCGCGGUAAUUCCAGCUCCAAUAGCGUAUAUUAAAGUUGUUGCAGUUAAAAAGCUCGUAGUUGAACCUUGGGCCUGGCUGGCCGGUCCGCCUCACCGCGUGCACUGGUUCGGCCGGGCCUUUCCCUCUGGGGAGCCCCAUGCCCUUCACUGGGUGUGGCGGGGAACCAGGACUUUUACUGUGAAAAAAUUAGAGUGUUCAAAGCAGGCCUAUGCUCGAAUACAUCAGCAUGGAAUAAUAGAAUAGGACGUGUGGUUCUAUUUUGUUGGUUUCUAGGACCGCCGUAAUGAUUAAUAGGGACAGUCGGGGGCAUCAGUAUUCAAUUGUCAGAGGUGAAAUUCUUGGAUUUAUUGAAGACUAACUACUGCGAAAGCAUUUGCCAAGGAUGUUUUCAUUAAUCAGGAACGAAAGUUAGGGGAUCGAAGACGAUCAGAUACCGUCGUAGUCUUAACCAUAAACUAUGCCGACUAGGGAUCGGACGAUGUUAUUUUUUGACUCGUUCGGCACCUUACGAGAAAUCAAA